rnacentral:rRNA from 1 species
CUCUACAGUCACACCAGCCCAAGCACGCUGGAUCUUAUUUGAUCUCAGAAGCUAAGCAGGAUUGUUCCUAGUUGCACUUGGAUGGGAGAUUGCCUUGGAUGGGAGUUGCACUUGGAUGGGA